GUUCUGCCUAACCAACUAAGCUUCCCAUGUGAUAAGUGACUCCUGUUUGUCCUGACAAGCACAACAGAUUCUUCCUGGUUUUCUUGUCACUGGAGUUUAAAUACUAAACUGUAAGAGCAUCCCUUAUCCUUCAGGUCGGGCCUUGAUGAAGAAAAUGUACCACUAUGAACAAUCUUUGAAGUUUGAAAAGCUCAACACAGAUCCAGUGUUUCUCCAUUCCUGCUGCCUGUGGAUCAGGAAAAAGAAUACUCAAGUACUUCUCCAAUCCCAUGUCUGCCUGUUUGCCACCAUGCCCCCUUUUAAGAUGAAAAUGUACUAAUACUCUGAAACUGUAAGCCAGUCCUAGGUAGGUUACAGUUGUCGCAUGGUCACAUGUUAGCAGCUGAAUAUUUCUUCUCUGGAACUUUCCAUAGUAACUUCCAGGACCAAGAACACAAGUCAGAAUCGGAAAUGCUACUAUUCCAGCAUGAGUUCAAUUCCUUCAUGUUCAGUGAUAUCAAUACAUGACAUCAUUAAAGGUACAACAGCU
rnacentral:sRNA from 1 species